CAGCGCGGGGAGCUUGCUCCCUGGCGGCGAGUGGCGCACGGGUGAGUAAUACAUCGGAACGUGUCUUCUAGUGGGGGAUAACUGCCCGAAAGGGCAGCUAAUACCGCAUGAGACCUGAGGGUGAAAGCGGGGGAUCGCAAGACCUCGCGCUGGAAGAGCGGCCGAUGUCCGAUUAGCUGGUUGGUGAGGUAAAGGCUCACCAAGGCGACGAUCGGUAGCUGGUCUGAGAGGACGACCAGCCACACUGGGACUGAGACACGGCCCAGACUCCUACGGGAGGCAGCAGUGGGGAAUUUUGGACAAUGGGGGCAACCCUGAUCCAGCCAUGCCGCGUGCAGGAUGAAGGUCUUCGGAUUGUAAACUGCUUUUGUCAGGGACGAAAAGGGAUGCGAUAACACCGCAUUCCGCUGACGGUACCUGAAGAAUAAGCACCGGCUAACUACGUGCCAGCAGCCGCGGUAAUACGUAGGGUGCAAGCGUUAAUCGGAAUUACUGGGCGUAAAGCGUGCGCAGGCGGUUCUGUAAGAUAGAUGUGAAAUCCCCGGGCUCAACCUGGGAAUUGCAUAUAUGACUGCAGGACUUGAGUUUGUCA
rnacentral:rRNA from 1 species